CCCAUCGAUGAUGAUGAGCUGAUCUCCUACAUCACCUCCGGCCUCGACAUGGAGUACCAACCUCUCGUCUCCGCCAACGACGCCCGCACCGAGCCCAUCAGCAUCGACGAUCUCUACGCCCAGAUGAGUAACUUCGAUC
rnacentral:snoRNA from 1 species